AAAGAAUCAUCUCAACCCAAAAGUUUAAGCUAUUAAGUGAGGCUUUAAAAUAUAAUUUAUAUUAUUUUCUAACACUCCCCCUCAAGUGAAAGCCCUUUGGAUUUGAAACUUGCACAUACCCACAUUAUCUUGUGCUUAAUUUUUUUUUAUCAAAUAAAUGAUGAUGAUGAGAUUCGAAC